rnacentral:piRNA from 1 species
GCGUGUCAGACAUGGAUAAGCCAUUGGC